UACGGAGGGUGCAAGCGUUGUCCGGAUUUAUUGGGUUUAAAGGGUGCGUAGGUGGCCCGUUAAGUCCGGGGUGAAAGCCCACUGCUCAACAGUGGAACUGCCCUGGAUACUGGAUGGCUUGAGUACAGACGAGGUUGGCGGAAUGGACUGAGUAGCGGUGAAAUGCAUAGAUACAGUCCAGAACCCCGAUUGCGAAGGCAGCUGACUAGGCUGUUACUGACGCUGAGGCACGAAAGCGUGGGGAGCGAACAGG
rnacentral:rRNA from 1 species